rnacentral:rRNA from 1 species
GACGAACGCUGGCGGCGUGCUUAACACAUGCAAGUCGAACGGAAAGGCCCUGCUUUUGUGGGGUGCUCGAGUGGCGAACGGGUGAGUAACACGUGAGUAACCUGCCCUUGACUUUGGGAUAACUUCAGGAAACUGGGGCUAAUACCGGAUAGGAGCUCCUGCUACAUGGUGGGGGUUAGAAAGUUUCGGCGGUUGGGGAUGGACUCGCGGCUUAUCAGCUUGUUGGUGGGGUAGUGGCUUACCAAGGCUUUGACGGGUAGCCGGCCUGAGAGGGUGACCGGCCACAUUGGGACUGAGAUACGGCCCAGACUCCUACGGGAGGCAGCAGUGGGGAAUAUUGCACAAUGGGCGGAAGCCUGAUGCAGCAACGCCGCGUGCGGGAUGACGGCCUUCGGGUUGUAAACCGCUUUCGCCUGUGACGAAGCGUGAGUGACGGUAAUGGGUAAAGAAGCACCGGCUAACUACGUG